rnacentral:rRNA from 1 species
GAUGAACGCUGGCGGCGUGCUUAACACAUGCAAGUCGAACGGAAAGGCCGAAGCUUGCUUCGGUACUCGAGUGGCGAACGGGUGAGUAACACGUGGGUGAUCUGCCCUGUACUUCGGGAUAAGCUUGGGAAACUGGGUCUAAUACCGGAUAUGACGAUCUCUUGGAUGGGGUUGUGGAAAGCUUUUGCGGUGUGGGAUGAGCUCGCGGCCUAUCAGCUUGUUGGUGGGGUAAUGGCCUACCAAGGCGUCGACGGGUAGCCGGCCUGAGAGGGUGUACGGCCACAUUGGGACUGAGAUACGGCCCAGACUCCUACGGGAGGCAGCAGUGGGGAAUAUUGCACAAUGGGCGCAAGCCUGAUGCAGCGACGCCGCGUGGGGGAUGACGGCCUUCGGGUUGUAAACUCCUUUCGCAAUCGACGAAGCCUUUUGGUGACGGUAGGUUGAGAAGAAGCACCGGCUAACUACGUG